rnacentral:lncRNA from 1 species
GUCUAAACAUUUCUAAUUUUACAUUAUUGAUCCUGAUAAACAUAGCUGCACAUUUGACAUUAUUUAAUAGUCAAUAAGAGAUGGAUGAGAAAUGUUAUGAAUUAAUAAUACAUAAUGAGGAUUUGACAGUUGCUGACCACCUAAGAAUUAAUUAUAAUGACUAACAGUUUAGAAAACAUAUUUAAUAAUAACUUUAGAAAAAAUGAUGAAAAGGAUAUAAAGUUGAAUAUAUUUGAUAUCACUGUCAGAACUGCCACCAAAAUAGCAAGCAACAAGAUGAUAGAUGAGCAGCACAUCAUCUGGUAUCAGGAGUUUCAUAAAAAUUUUUUUAAAUUUUUCUUUUUGUCACACAUUUAUGUAAAGCAUCAACUGAUUAACUCAUUUGAAUAAGAUGAUAUAGGUGACAUUUAUAUCGUAUAUUUAUGUCGAGAGAGACAAUAAACAUCAAUAGAUUAAAGGAUAAAGUAACCAUCAUGUAUUAAUGAAAGUGACUAAUGAAACAGAACUUUCGAAAAUUCCUUUUAUUUUCAUAUAAAAACAAUGUAUAUGCCACAAAAAUAUUCACCAAAUUUAAAAUUUUUUUCAAAAAUACUUCAAAAUUUAUAUAAAUUACCAUCAGAAUUAUUAACAUGAAUUCAAAUUUUUAUUAUUUUAUCAUAAAUAAUAAUAAUAGUUCUGGAAAUUUUGUUAAUUUUAAUUCUGUUA